AUUGAACGCUGGCGGCAGGCCUAACACAUGCAAGUCGAGCGGAUGAAGGGAGCUUGCUCCUGGAUUCAGCGGCGGACGGGUGAGUAAUGCCUAGGAAUCUGCCUGGUAGUGGGGGAUAACGUCCGGAAACGGGCGCUAAUACCGCAUACGUCCUGAGGGAGAAAGUGGGGGAUCUUCAGACCUCACGCUAUCAGAUGAGCCUAGGUCGGAUUAGCUAGUUGGUGGGGUAAAGGCCUACCAAGGCGACGAUCCGUAACUGGUCUGAGAGGAUGAUCAGUCACACUGGAACUGAGACACGGUCCAGACUCCUACGGGAGGCAGCAGUGGGGAAUAUUGGACAAUGGGCGAAAGCCUGAUCCAGCCAUGCCGCGUGUGUGAAGAAGGUCUUCGGAUUGUAAGGCACUUUAAGUUGGGAGGAAGGGCAGUAAGUUAAUACCUUGCUGUUUUGACGUUACCAACAGAAUAAGCACCGGCUAACUUCGUG
rnacentral:rRNA from 1 species